AGUAGGGUAUUGGCCUACCGUGGCUAUGACGGGUAACGGGGAAUUAGGGUUCGAUUCCGGAGAGGGGGCCUGAGAAACGGCUACCACAUCUAAGGAAGGCAGCAGGCGCGCAAAUUACCCAAUCCUAAUACAGGGAGGUAGUGACAAGAAAUAACAAUACAGGACUUUACGGUUUUGUAAUUGGAAUGAGUUAAGUAUAAACCCCUUUACAAGUAUCAAUUGGAGGGCAAGUCUGGUGCCAGCAGCCGCGGUAAUUCCAGCUCCAAUAGCGUAUAUUAAAGUUGUUGCAGUUAAAAAGCUCGUAGUUGGAUUUCUGUUAAUACCUUAUAUAUAAUAUUUUUUUAAAUAUUAAUAUGUAAGAUUUAACAUUCAUAUUUUUAAGACUGAAUUUUUAGUUUUGAUAAUAUGAAAUUUUACUUUGAGAAAAUUAGAGUGCUUAAAGCAGGCUUUUACCUUGAAUACUCCAGCAUGGAAUAAUAAUAAAAGAUUUUUAUCUUUUUUUAUUGGUUCUAAGAUAAAAAUAAUGAUUAAUAGGGACAGUUGGGGGCAUUUGUAUUUAACAGUCAGAGGUGAUAUUCUUAGAUUUGUUAAAGACAAACUAAUGCGAAAGC
rnacentral:rRNA from 1 species